CCUACGGGAGGCAGCAGUGGGGAAUAUUGGACAAUGGGCCAAAGCCUGAUCCAGCCAUGCCGCGUGUGUGAAGAAGGCCUUCGGGUUGUAAAGCACUUUCAGUGGGGAAGAAAGCCUUGGGGCUAAUACCCUCGAGGAAGGACAUCACCCACAGAAGAAGCACCGGCUAACUCCGUGCCAGCAGCCGCGGUAAUACGGAGGGUGCGAGCGUUAAUCGGAAUUACUGGGCGUAAAGCGCGCGUAGGCGGUCUGAUAAGCCGGUUGUGAAAGCCCCGGGCUCAACCUGGGAACGGCAUCCGGAACUGUCAGGCUAGAGUGCAGGAGAGGAAGGUAGAAUUCCCGGUGUAGCGGUGAAAUGCGUAGAGAUCGGGAGGAAUACCAGUGGCGAAGGCGGCCUUCUGGACUGACACUGACGCUGAGGUGCGAAAGCGUGGGUAGCAAACAGGAUUAGAUACCCCUGUAGUC
rnacentral:rRNA from 1 species